AGAACGAACGCUGGCGGCAUGCCUAACACAUGCAAGUCGAACGAAGGCUUCGGCCUUAGUGGCGCACGGGUGCGUAACGCGUGGGAAUCUGCCCUUGGGUUCGGAAUAACAGUUGGAAACGACUGCUAAUACCGGAUGAUGUCGCGAAAMCAAAGAUUUAUCGCCCAGGGAUGAUCCCKCGUCGGAUUAGGUAGUUGGUGGGGUAAARGCCUACCAARCCGACGAUCARUARCUGGUCUGAGAGGAUGAUCARCCACACUGGGACUGAGACACGGCCCAGACUCCUACGGGAGGCAGCAGUGGGGAAUAUUGGACAAUGGGCGCAAGCUGAUCCAGCCAUGCCGCGUGAGUGAUGAAGGCCUUAGGGUUGUAAAGCUCUUUUGUCCGGGACGAUAAUGACGGUACCGGAAGAAUAAGCCCCGGCUAACUUCGUGCCAGCAGCCGCGGUAAUACGAAGGGGGCUAGCGUUGCUCGGAAUCACUGGGCGUAAAGGGCGCGUAGGCGGCCAUUCAAGUCGGGGGUGAAAGCCUGUGGCUCAACCACAGAAUUGCCUUCGAUACUGUUUGGCUUGAGUUUGGUAGAGGUUGGUGGAACUGCGAGUGUAGAGGUGAAAUUCGUAGAUAUUCGCAAGAAAACCAGUGGCGAAGGCGGCCAACUGGACCAACACUGACGCUGAGGCGCGAAAGCGUGGGGAGCAAACAGGACSCGAUACCCUGGUUUCARGGGCGAAUAU
rnacentral:rRNA from 1 species